rnacentral:rRNA from 1 species
UACGAAGGGGGCUAGCGUUGCUCGGAAUCACUGGGCGUAAAGCGCACGUAGGCGGCUUUUUAAGUCAGGGGUGAAAUCCUGGAGCUCAACUCCAGAACUGCCUUCGAUACUGAAGAGCUCGAGUCCGGGAGAGGUGAGUGGAACUGCGAGUGUAGAGGUGAAAUUCGUAGAUAUUCGCAAGAACACCAGUGGCGAAGGCGGCUCACUGGCCCGGUACUGACGCUCAGGUGCGAAAGCGUGGGGAGCAAACAGG